GUUAUAGCUCAGUUGGUAAAGCAUGAGGCUCUUAAUCUCAAGGUCAUGGGUUCAAGCCCCACAUAGGGGGAAAUA